UUAAAGCUCGCGACGUUCGGCUCCCGCGCGCGUUCCGGGCUCGCCUCUCUCGCGUUCUCCGCGAGGAAACGCGGGAAAAAAACAACGUCAUCGUCUCCGUUUUGAAAAGCGCCGGAGACGGGCGCGCGAGCGCGACAUUUCGACCUUCACGAGCACUUCCCGGCGUUUCGGACCCGUCGUUCCAUCCGGUACAACUCUUGUGCCUUUUCCGCGUCGCUAAACCGUCGUCUCCCCGCGCGCAGGUCCUCGGAGAACACGUCAGCGAAGCGGAGAUGCCAAGCAAAGGUGAGAGCUCCAAACCGAGGAAAAAGUCCCGUAACGCGCUUUCCGGCGGCACGCCACCCGAGUCGCGUCGCGCCCGGUCGCCUCGUCGAGGCGCGCGAUUUUUACCCGCGGGUCGUGCGAACAUUUGGAGACGCUCGUCAGCUCCGGGCGGCCGUAUCGCGCGUCUCCAGGGGAGGAUAUCGCGUCGCGUCCAGGAGGGGGCGUUGACAUCCAUCUUCUCGAGUUUUUUUUUCCCGACGAGUGUUUUCUUGGCCCCCGCGGCCCCUGCGCUUCCGCCUCGCCGCUGACCCAUCGCGCCCCGUCUCACCCCCGCAGAAGGAUACGUCGAGGCGCAAGCCUUCGCGUCGGUGCACGACCUCGUUCAUCACGCCAUCCUCUCCCGCCCCGACCACAGGUGCGCGCGCGCGAGCGGCCCCGGCGUCCCGGUUUUUUUUUCUCGACAGUUGUCGGGUUGUGAGCCUCCAUGAGUCAUGACUCUGACGAGGCGGGCGAGGAAGUUUCACCCCGAGCGGCGCGAGACGCGCGUGACUGACGCCUCCCACCAUCCCUCCCGCGUCACGCGCAGGGCGAUACUCAAGGAGAUUUACGCAACCUGCGAGCGCGAGGGGCGCAUCGCGUACAAGCGUGAGUCCCAUUCCCCGCUCCCGCGCGGCGCCCGUCCCGGCGCCGCAUCCCGGCAUGCGCGUUUUCAUCCCCUUUCUCGGUUCGGGACUCGCCCUUUUUCGCACAGCUGGCGCUCGACGUGGAAAACGCACGAAUCGCUUUUUCGGAGUUUUCCCGAGACUGCGAUGCAUCACGUUUGUGUUUUUCCCCGCAGCGGUGGCGGUGGUCGUGCCGGUUGCUUGUCCCCCCCCCCCACUGACGCCUGCCCUCUUCUCUCCUCUUCCGCAGACGGCAAGGGCAGCAGGCUCCUGACCGCUAACGAGCACUGGAAGUCCCAGAUCAGACACGCGCUCUACACCUCCCCGAGGUUCAGACGCGUCGACGACGGCGAGGCUUGGUCCGUGUCAAACCCCGAAGCCAAGGCUCCGGAACCCGUCACGGUAGGUAAACGUCCCCUUGUCCCGCCCGUCCCCUUGUCCCGCCCGUCCCCUUGUCCCGCCCUUUACCUUUCUCUUUCUCUUUCUCUUUCUUUUUCCCUUGUCCCAUGUCCCCCCCUUUGUCCCUCAAGUGCGCAAACGACUGACCGCUCUCCCCGUACCCCCACGAUUCCUCGCAGGUGCGCGUGUACCCCGGCGACGACGAGGCUGUCGCCGCGCAGCGCUCACACGAGCGCGAGGAGCACAAGCGAGAGAAGGCGUUGGCGGCGGCGGCGGCGCUAGCGGCGGCAGUUGACCUCCCUCAUCAACUCCCGCACAAGGCCUCCCGCGCCGUCUCCAACUCGCGCAAGAGACGGUUCAGCAACGCGUCGACUACGAGCGACGAUGUAAGCGACGACUCGCCGCACAAGCGCAACCGACGCGCGAGGCACCACGCGCAAGGACGCGCGCCACUCGCGGAGGUUGCCGAACUGGCGCAGACGGGGCAACCGACGAAUAACCCGUGGCGAAAACGCGACGACGAGGGUCGGCUGCACCGCGCGUUGCGGAGGGCGCGGGAAAACGACCGAGGGCUUCCCCGACUCGUCUCGCGCGACUCGUCCCCGGAGCCCGACGGCGAGCACGAGGCGACGAGGGACGACAAGCCCGUCAUCGUGAUGGUCGGGAACAAGCCCGUCGUGCCCAAGGGGAGGGAUAUCGCGCACAACAGGCGCAAACCGCUCGAGGGUCAUCGCGCGGCGAUGCCGUCGGGCGCCAUCCCGGAUGCGUGGAACUCCGUCAAGUGCGGCGCCGGGGCGAGCACGGGGUUCAUCUAUCACCCGUCCAACGAGUUUAUCACCUAUCACCUCGGACUCUCCGGCUGACGGAAGACGCAAAGAGACGAGAGACUUUCCAGCCGCGAGCGCGACGACUGCUGUACUACCGAACGACGAGACUGAGGACCAUUUUUUUGCAUGCAACCACCACCGAUUCUUUCUGCGAGGGGACGCGAAGGCGAGCUCUGGCGCGCGGCUCAUCCCCUGACGCAUCAUCACAACUGAC
rnacentral:lncRNA from 1 species